rnacentral:lncRNA from 1 species
GUGAGACUGUGAAUUCUUCAAAAGCAGGUACUGUGUUUAAUGAAGUGUGCCCAGGACUUUGCUCAGUGACUGGAUGACACAGUAGGAGUAACAAGAAAGUUCACAUGGGUGAACCGUGGUAGGUGGACAUCGUCUCUCUCACCUCUUCCCAAAUCAAGGAUGAAGUACAUCUUCAUAAAUCCUCAUGUGAAUUAUUUUGCUACCUCUAGAAGCAUUUUCUAAAACAAGGUGCAGCAAUCAGUUGAGUGAAUUUGUCACCAGAGCUUAUGUUUUCUGAAAGAACCCUAUCCUCAGGCAGUUGUUCCUAAGAGGUCAGGCUGCAUUUGUAUCCUGGGUCCACAAGACAUCGUUUCCUUAAAACCAAUCCCCCUGAUUUUGCUAAGUGUCUGCAAGCCUAAUAUUUCAUGGAUGUUUGACAAGGACCCCGUCUUUAGCUGAACUAAGGAGAAAGUCCUGCAACACACACAUGGAGCUCAGCAAACGGAGGAUGUAGACCCCACUGGAAAUCGGACUGUUCAACUCACCUGGCAGCCACUCACAGAGCCCGUGGAACUCUGGCCCAAGGCUCUCUGACUCCUUCUCGGCUUAGCGGCUAAAGACUGACACUGCCCGAUCGCCUCGGAAGCCCCGUAGACCAUCACGGACGCCGAGCUUUAGAUGAAGAAACUGAGGUCCAGAGAAGUUAAACGACCUUCCUAAGAUUACACAGCUUAGUAAGUGGCAGAACCACAGCUGGAAGCCAGGUCCUUCCUCACGCAAGUCCUGGCUCAUUCAUUCCUCUUCCAAAGACUUGCUGAGCACCUUCUAGGUGCCAGAUGCGGUGCUGGCUCCUGGGGACAUGGGAGUGAACAGGCCAGGCGUGGCCCUGAACCAUCAAAUAGACAACCACAGAAAUAACAACGAAUGAUGCUGGAGGCUGACGAAGAUAAGGGUGGAAAGUGGGCAAUAAAUCAGGAGCUGUUGCAACAUUCCCAGCAAAGGAUAAUGGUGAAUAACAAAGACAAAACCGGGCCCUUCCACACAGUAGCUGGAACACAAAGGAAGAUCAGCCAAGCCUCAACAUAAUCUCAUAAAAAUUCUUCAAAUAUCCCAUUGUUAUGGAUUCAUACAUCAGGAAAGCAGAUGCCAAGAACCUGAACACCUUCUACUGGUAACAUAUAUUUUGGCGAGCCAGCCUGGAGACAAGACCACUAUGGGCAACUUCCUGUCUAUUCUACCUGGUGUCACUGUGGACAACUUCCUAUCUAUUCCACCCGAUUCACCGCUUGGCUACAUCCUCCACCAUUGGGAUGAAUUUGACCCUAACAAUCUAAAGAAAAGGCAUAUGAUUUUUUACUGCAAUAUUGUUUGACACAAUUAUGAGCUGCCCAAUCCGGAACAAUGGGCAGUCAAUGGUAGCCUUAAUUAUGAUACCAUCCUGUAUCUAGACCUAUUUUACAAGAGGCAGGGCAAAUGGUCAGAAGUCCCACAUAUACAGGCCUACAUGACCCUAUACGAAGACCUAAGAAUCUAGGAAACUCCCAGAACCCAUCCCCCGAAGGAAAGUUCUGGGGCAGAACUAGAUAUUAUAGAUGAACCCCCUUUUACAAGGGAUACCUGUCUCUCAGAGUGAGCAGUGACUGUCCCCAUAUAACCCCUCACCAAGUGCUCCUGAGGCUGAAACCCAGGGGCAAACAUGGGGAACCCUACUAAGUCCCCCUCACACUUGGAGGGGAACACUGUAUUCAACUCUCUAUCCAGCCCUGCUACUCUCAGAGAAAUAGCAGGGGCUGAGGGGCCAAUCCUAGUGUGGGUCCCCUUCUCUAUGAUUGAUAUACAACAAUGUAAGGAAAAGCUAGGAAGCUAUUCUGAGGAUUCCGGGAAGUUUGCAGAUGGGUUCCAAACUUUGACCUUAGCCUUUGAUCUCUCAUGGAGAGACGUUCAAUUCACUCUAGCAACCUGUUGCACCUCCUCGGAAAAGGAACGAAUCUUUGAGGCUGCCCUCCGAGAAGUGGACGAAUUAUUCACCCAAAACCGUAAAGGCAGUCACCCAGGCCCAGCCACAGUUCCCACUACGCAUCCUAAUUGAGACCAAGACACCCCCGCAGGAAGGAACAACUGGGCUAAAUUUCUUGAGGCUCUUGGAGGAAUGAGAAAGGGAAUAACUAAGGCAGUAAAUUAUGAUAAAGUAAGGCAGAUUACACAAGGCAGGGAGGAAAACCCAGCUGUGUUUUACGGCAGGCUGCGGGAAGCCUUUAAAAAAUAUAUACUAAUUUGGUCCCUUCCUCUCCUGAAGGCAAGUUAUUAAUGGCACAACGUUUCAUUAGCCAAUCCACACCAGACAUUAGACGUAAGCUCCAAAAGCUACACAUGGGGCCACAAACUAACCAAAAUCAGCUUCUUGGUACUGCCUUCAUGGUGUAUAACAAUCGUGACCUGGAGGAAGGAGAAGGGAAACAGAGUAAAGAAAAACGGCAAGCCAAAAUUAUGUUAGCCAUCACUGGUGAUGCCCUAAAUGCACAAAGAUUGUCCAAGGGAAACUCAAAGGGCCAUAAGGAUAAUGCCAGCAAAGGCUCUUGCUUCAAAUGCAAUAAAAGUGCGAUUGGGCACAGGAAUCCACUAAGCCCCCGCCAGUCCCCUGCCGUCAAUGUAAAAGCACCAGUUGUGGCUCCUGGCCCUGGAGAAUUGACUGUCCCUGCUCCCACCAAGGGGCUCAGUCAGUCAAAACUCUGGCAGUGCACAAGGAGGAAUCAGAUGAAGACUGAAGGGGCCUGGGGCCUUCCUCACUGCCCCGUCUAGGAACAUUGUAAUUACUACUGAGGAACCCUGGGUAACUCUGGACAUCAUGGCCACCCAAAUUCAGUUUUUAUGUGAUACCAAGGUGAAUUAUUCUGUACAACUGCUUAUGCAGGAAAACUUUCCUCCCGGUCCAUGAGUGAUAUUGGAUGGAAGGGAAGCCACAAACAAGAUUCUUACUCCUCCUUUGGUUUGUCAAUUUGAGAAACAAAUCUUCCAACAGGAAUUUUUAGUAGUACCAAGCUGCCCAAUUCCCCUGUGGGAAAGAGAUAUUAUGGUGAAAAUAGUGACACUACUGCAAUUUAAGCAAUAUUAGCAGGUGAAACUGCUAAUAGUAAGAAAUAAGGCAAUGUCCCAGACCAUGUCAAUAAACAGGUUAACCCACUGGCAUGGUAUACUGGAAACCCAGGGAAGGCUAAAACAGCAGUGCCAGUCAAAAUACAGCUUAAAGACCCCAGCCAUUUUCCCAAUGGAAAACAAUACCCAGUUGAACAGGAAGCAAGCAAAGGUCUAGCUCCCAUAGUUGAGAUAUUACUUACCCAUGGACUCUUAAAACCCUGCAAUUCUCCCUGCAAUACCCCCAUCUUACCUGUUCUCAAGCCUGGGGGGAAUACCAGCUAGUACAGAACCUCAGAAUAAUGAAUGAGGCUGUUAUCCCCGUCCACCCAUUGGUGGCAGAUCCAUAUGCCCUCCUGGCUCAGGUGCCAGGGCAUGCAAAAUGGUUCUCAGUCCUAGACCUUUCUUCUCCAUUCCUCUGGCCCCGAGCCCCCCAGUACCUUUUUGCUUUCGAAUGGGAAAAUCCUAAUACCAGAUAAAAACAAUACACUUGGACAGUGCUUCCUCAGGGCUUUCGGGAUAGCCCCCACUUCUUUGCCUGAGCAUUAGAGCGGGAUCUGAGGGAUUUCAAGUUAGAAAAUGGAGGUAUUCUUCAGUAUGGGGAUGACCUUGUGUGUAGCCCAACCUAGGAGGUUUCUGACCAAAAUACUAUAAAAACUUUGAAUUUCCUGGCAGACAGAGGAUACAAAGUGUCCAAAAAGAAGGCUCAGAUUACCCUCCAAUGGGUCCACUAUUUAGGAUAUGUCUUAACACCCGGAACCCGGCAAAUAUCCCCAGAAGGAGUGCAAGCUAUAUGUGGUUUGGCCGCGUGCACCACCCCCAGCCCCCACCCUGACCCACCUCCAAGCAGCAGCUUUGUUCCUUUUUGGGGAUGGCCGGGCUUUGGAGAAUAUGAGUACCAAAUUUUGGGCUCAUAGCAAAGCCCCUAUAUGAAGCAACAAGGGGGCCUGAAAAUGAGCUAAUGGAAUGGACCCCGGAAAUGAGGAAAGCCUUUGCCAAGUUAAAACAGGUUCUCACCCAGGCUCCUGCUCUUGGUAUCCCAGACCUAAUUAAGGCCUUCUCCUUGUAUGUAGCAGAGAAGAGGGGCAUAGCUGUGGGAGUGCUAGCCCAGAAAUUAGGAUCAGAACCCAGACCAACCGCCUACUUCUCAAAAAAGUUGGACGGAGUGGCCUCAGGAUGGCCAAGUUGCCUGCGGGCAAUAGCAGCCACUGCUGUUAGUGGAGGAAGCCACUAAAAUCACCCUAGGGCAACCACUGGAAGUUCUAACGCUCCAUCAGGUAAAGUUAGUCUUAGAAAUAAAGGGACACAUCUGGAUGACAGGGGAAAUGUUAACUAAAUACCAGCCCAUGCUCCUAGACAAUCCAGAUAUAACUCUUAAAACCUGCAACACUUUAAAUCCAGCUUCAUUGCUGCCCACAGGCCCAAUAAUUGAUCAUUCCUGUGAGCAGGUCAUUGCACAUACAUAUGUUAGCCAGCCUGAUUUAAAAGAUGAGGCUCUCCCAGAUUCUGAAGCUGACCGGCUCACAGACGGCAGUAGUUCUUUGUCGAAUGGGGAGCACAGAGCUGGAUAUGCAGCAGUAAAUCAUGACACAAUUAUUGAAGCCCAGCCAGUGCCCCCUGGCACAUCAGCACAAAAGGCUAAAAUCAUUGAUCUUACUCAAGCAUUAAUGUUGGGACAAGGGAAAAAACUUAACAUCUAUACAGAUUCUAAAUAUGCAUUCCUUGUGGUUCAUGCUCAUACCGCCAUCAGGAAAGAAAGGGGAUUACUUACUAGCAAGCACUCCCCUAUAGAGCAUGGACCUGAAAUUCUGCAGCUAUUGAAGGCAAUACACCUGCCAAAGGCCAUAGCUAUCAUUCAUUGUAGGGGGCAUCAAAGGGACUUAACCCCUAUAGCACAAGGGAAUGGAAAGGCUGACGGAAGCCAAAGCAAAAGCCCUCAGCGUGCAAUCCCAACAGAUCCUAGCACUGCUUCCUUUCUACAAUUCCCCAGUAGAACCCAAAUACACACCACAGGAAGAACAGCUAAUAAAAAAAGCAAGGGAGACAAAAACAAGGAUCCUGGUGGCAUAUGGAGCCAAAAAUAUAUCUCCCUCAGGCAGCCCAGUGGAGAGUUAUAAAAGCCCUGCAUGACUCUUUCCAUGUGGGGAGGGAUGCGGCUCUGGCCAUGGUAAACAAGUUCUUUACUGGGUUUAACUCAGCUUCAAUGGCUAAGCAGGUCUGUCAAGCCUGCUCACUGUGUGCAUUUAACAAUCCAGGCAUCAAAAUGCCCCCUCUAAUAAAACCAGUCCAAAGGAGGGGAACUUAUCCAGGGGAAGACUGGCAGUUAGACGUCAUCCAUAUGCCAGCUUGCAGAGGAUACAAGCUUUUGUUAAUACUAAUAGAUACUUUUAGGUUGGGUCAAAGGUUACCCCAGAAAAGGCUAAUGAGGUUCUAAGGUCCUCUUAAAAGAAAUAAUUCCCCAGUUUGGGUUACCUCAGGGUCUCCAAAGUGAUAAUGGCUAAUCCUUUAUCUCCCAAAUAACUCAAGGGGUUGCUAAGGCUCUUGGAAUAAAAUACUAUUUACAUUCAGCCUGGAGGCCCCAAUCCUCUGGAAAAGUGGAAAGGGUUAACCAAACUCUAAAAUAAGCACUAGCUAAACUAUGUCAGGAAACAUCAGAAACUUGGGUUAGCUUAUUGCUCACAGCCCUUUUAAGAAUUUGUAAUACCCCUAGCUCAAAAAUUAACAGAAGCCCAUAUAAAAUGUUAUACAGAAGGCCAUUCUUAACUAAUGAUUUAAUUAUUGACCCAGAAAGAGUUGGUGUAAUUAAAUACCUAGUCAACCCAGAACAAUUCCAGCGGGUUUACAAGAGUUUGGAAUUCAAAGGCUCCUCACACUUGGAACUAACCAGCAACCCAAAAUCAGGCCAGGAGAUAGGGUACUUGUUAAAACAUGGAAUGAGGGAUCACCUGCCCAACAAUUACAACCCCAAUAGAAGGGACUUUUUUCAGUAAUACUGGCCACGUCUUCUGUGGUCAAAGUACUAGUAUUAGAUAGCUGGAUACAUCUUUCAAGGAUCAAACCAUCAAUACCAGAAGCUCCAGACCAGGAACCUGAAGUUCCCAUCAGCCAGUACACCUGUGAACCAGUGGAGGACCUGAAGUACCUGUUUAAAAGAUAGCCAAAAGAUAAGUAAAUGCCUACCAACUUUCUUUGGUGUCUUUGUUGCAUAGUUACUGUGGGCUGGAAAAUAGUAGCCAUUUUUAUCUUUGCAGUUUAAUUGCCUUCUUCCAAAUAGAUAAAAAUCACUUCCUUUGUAAUAAUUAAACAGAAUUUAAAAAAUACAUUUCUAUGACAAAUAUUCCUGAUGGCAUAAGUAUCCACCCCAAGGUUCCCAUUAAAUCUUUUAACCUAAAGUAUUUCCUCUCACCUAGAGAUCAUCGAGCUGUGUGACAAGGGUGCCAGCCACUCCAGGUGAAGACACCACCCCAGGCCAUCAAGGAUCUUCCCUACCUUCACUAAACAGAGCAGGGUGAAAGUUGUGUGAUCCCCAAUAGGUAGGGACUACACCCCAAGUCAGCAGGAAGCAGUUACAGAAGAAAGACCAUUGGUCCCUCUGCUUCCCAUAAAGAUUUAUGGGGAUCACAGCUUUCACGGGGGAGAUGAGGCAAGAGAAUAGGGCAUGCAGGCAGGGUACUUGAGGCCAAUCCACGCUGACUUCCUAGAACUGAAUUAAAUGAAAGCUCCUCAGCAAUGACAGGAAUGUGAAUGGCUUUGUAACUUCUUCCUCUCCAUUAAUGCUAUUUCCACUUUGUAACUUCACUUUCAUCCUCUCCAUUUACAUAGAUCACACACCAAGUAACAUCCUCUCCAUUUACAGUAGGGCGCAUUCCGAGUCAAUGACUCUGACUGCACUUCGUUCUCCUCAUUUACAUAGAACAUUCGCCAAGUAACCAAUGGGAAACCUCUAGAGUAUUGAAACUCCAGAAAAUUCCGUAAGUGGGGCUCUUGAGCGUCUACACUCGGGUCGCUCCCACACUGUGGCGUGUACUUUUAUUCUCAAUAAAUUCCCGCUUUUGCUUUCCUCGUUC